rnacentral:tRNA from 1 species
GCAUUGGUGGUUCAGUGGUAAAAUUCUAGGUUGCCAUGCUGGAGACCUAGGUUCGAUUCCCAGCCAAUGCA